rnacentral:RNase_P_RNA from 1 species
CGAGUCGGCUGGGCGGUCGCGUCGGCGGGGGAGACCCCGUCGCCGAGGAACGUCCGGGCUCCACAGGGCAGGGUGGUCGUUAGCGGCGACCCGGGGUGACCCGCGGGACAGUGCCACAGAAAACAGACCGCCGGCGUCCGCGCCGGUAAGGGUGAAACGGUGGUGUAAGAGACCACCAGCACGCCGGGUGACCGGCGUGGCUCGGUAAACCCCACCCGGAGCUAGGUCAAGAAGGAACGGUGGUCCGCCGCCGCUCCGCGCAGGCGUUCGAGGGCGGCCCGCCCGAGCCUGCGGGUAGACCGCUGGAGCCUGCCGGCAACGGCAGGCCUAGAUGGAUGACCGCCCAUCGGGAGGCCGCGAGGCACCCGUGGACAGAACCCGGCGUACAGGCCGACUCGUCCG